CUCAGUUUUUGUUUUCAAAGACAUAAAUUUUACAUAUUUAUAUAAUUGUCUAAAUUCAAAAUAUAUUUAUCUACUAACCAGUAGUAUUAAUACACUUAGAAAUUUAAUAAACUUGAAAUACAUCAAAUUAUAAAAUUAUUAUGAUCUAACAGGUCUCAAUACACAACUGUUUCUACCCUGAUUUAUUAUUACUUGGUAUUUUUUGAUGGUUCUUUAGUUGGUGAAAUGUAUCUAAUGUCUUCUACAUUGUUUAUGCUAUUGUCCUAGAGCAGAAAACAGCUGUCCUCCUGAAUCCACCCUUCAACUGAUACAUACAAAACUUUAACAGGUUGUAUGGUAAUUAAGGUAAGUACUGUCAGGUGGAAACAAAAGUUGCUAAAGAAAUUCUAAACUUACCAAGAUUGAAACAUUGAAAAUUAAUAGUUCAAUAGAAAUUGUCCUGCAUUAAGUUAGAUCUGACUUGGCUCAGACGCCCACUGUCCCUGACCUAAAACUGACAAUCAUUCUGCAUUGCGGAACUCAGUGUAUAGUAUUUAAUGGCAAUCAUUACAUAGUAAAAAUCACCACCACCACCACCCCCACACACAGCUACAGACUUGAUUCUACUGUAAAGGUGAGUAUGCACAAUAAGUUCACCAUGAAAAAUGCAUAGUUUAAUCAACAAUAAAAUGUCUAACCUUGGGUUCCAAGUGGAGCUACUCCAAUUCAGUAACUAUAUAUUGAGUUCCUUGGUUAUCUACAUAAACAGGAGGUAUUUCAGGAACAAGAGCUUACCCCAGGAGGCUAAGAGAACUCUGUAUAUAUUCAGCACUAAAAAAUAAUAAUCUGUGUAUACUGAAAGCAUGCAUGUGGUGAAAGGGAGGUAGUAGGGACAGUAGUUGUAACAGAAAAAAAAAAAAAAAAAGAUGUCAGAGGCAAGUAGGAAAACUGCCUCAGGCUUUGUGGGUCAGUACCCUAAGUUCAGAUUGCCUCUCUCAAACAAACACAGCAAUCAUAGAAGACCGAAGCAAAGGUCUGAACUGUGCAGAACAGAUAGGAAAGCAGCCACAUGAAGACAGAUAAACCAGUUUAAAAGGUCGAUUUCCUAAUGUAGGUGAUGCAGGCAUGCAUUAAAAGGCAAUUCCAUGAUGAUGAAAUGUAAGGCUUUUAGGAGCUGGAGAAUACUUCAGGACCAGAGCUGUGCUUAACAUGUAUGAGGCUACAGACUAGAAAGAAAAAGUCAUUUGUUUACAUUCAGCUCUCCGAUUUUCCAUACACCGAUGUAGAACUCAGAGAAAGCUGCUAUUCUCUCUACAUCUUAUUUCUUUCCCAUAACUCAAGAUACAAAAUCUUCACAGGACUGUCCUCC
rnacentral:lncRNA from 1 species